rnacentral:rRNA from 1 species
UACGUAGGUGGCAAGCGUUGUCCGGAAUUAUUGGGCGUAAAGGGCCCGCAGGCGGUUUCUUAAGUCUGAUGUGAAAGCCCCCGGCUCAACCGGGGAGGGUCAUUGGAAACUGGGAAACUUGAGUGCAGAAGAGGAGAGUGGAAUUCCACGUGUAGCGGUGAAAUGCGUAGAGAUGUGGAGGAACACCAGUGGCGAAGGCGACUCUCUGGUCUGUAACUGACGCUGAGGAGCGAAAGCGUGGGGAGCGAACAGG